GUAAUUAUUUUAUAUAUUUUUCUUGUUAUCCGUUUCAUUUUUUACUUUUCAAAGGUGCGUUGACACGAACCAUAAUAUCAGUAGGGUUGAAGGCCAAUCGCAGUAAUUCAACGCAAAUUCGCGCGCCGUUUUUGGUUGAACAAUUGAUUCGUAAUACUGCAAGUGAAUCUGAUGUGCUAGCAUUCACCUUGUGAAUAGAUGAGUGUGCGUUUCGAGAUUCCUAGCCGACUGCGUCAUUACGUAAUCGUUUCUUCUUCUCAAAAUAAAUUUAUAUAGUACGCUACGAUACGCAUAUCCGUUGCGAUACGAUAAGAAAGAAUGAGAUCCAAUCCAGUAAGAGGAGGUCAGAGGACAUAGACAUUCCCGGAAAGAAGUUGAAAGAGAGAGGCAUUAUCUUCCUAACAACUGAUCAUGACUCAUUCCACACUGCAUAUAUGUAUAUCAUUUAUUACACAUUUUAAUGAAGACAUUGAUAAC